rnacentral:rRNA from 1 species
UACAGGGGGUGCAAACGUUGCUCGGAAUUAUUGGGCGUAAAGCGCGCGUAGGCGGCUACUUAAGUCGGAUGUGAAAGCCCCUGGCUCAACUGGGGAAGUGCACCCGAAACUGAGUGGCUUGAGUACUAAGAGGGUCGCGGAAUUCCCGGUGUAGAGGUGAAAUUCGUAGAUAUCGGGAGGAACACCGGUGGCGAAGGCGGCGACCUGGGUAGAUACUGACGCUGAGGCGCGAAAGCGUGGGGAGCAAACAGG